rnacentral:rRNA from 1 species
UACAUGCAAGUCGAGCGAACGGACGAGAAGCUUGCUUCUCUGAUGUUAGCGGCGGACGGGUGAGUAACACGUGGAUAACCUACCUAUAAGACUGGGAUAACUUCGGGAAACCGGAGCUAAUACCGGAUAAUAUUUUGAACCGCAUGGUUCAAAAGUAAAAGACGGUCUUGCUGUCACUUAUAGAUGGAUCCGCGCUGCAUUAGCUAGUUGGUAAGGUAACGGCUUACCAAGGCAACGAUGCAUAGCCGACCUGAGAGGGCGAUCGGCCACACUGGAACUGAGACACGGUCCAGACUCCUACGGGAGGCAGCAGUAGGGAAUCUUCCGCAAUGGGCGAAAGCCUGACGGAGCAACGCCGCGUGAGUGAUGAAGGUCUUCGGAUCGUAAAACUCUGUUAUUAGGGAAGAACAUAUGUGUAAGUAACUGUGCACAUCUUGACGGUACCUAAUCAGAAAGCCACGGCUAACUACGUGCCAGCAGCCGCGGUAAUACGCGGGUGGCAAGCGUUAUCCGGAAUUAUUGGGCGUAAAGCGCGCGUAGGCGGUUUUUUAAGUCUGAUGUGAAAGCCCACGGCUCAACCGUGGAGGGUCAUUGGAAACUGGAAAACUUGAGUGCAGAAGAGGAAAGUGGAAUUCCAUGUGUAGCGGUGAAAUGCGCAGAGAUAUGGAGGAACACCAGUGGCGAAGGCGACUUUCUGGUCUGUAACUG